rnacentral:rRNA from 1 species
AAUGAACGCUGGCGGCGUGCUUAACACAUGCAAGUCGCACGAGAACGCUUCAGCUUGCUGGAGCUAGUAAAGUGGCGCACGGGUGAGUAACGCGUGGAUAAUCUGCCCUUCAGUUGGGAAUAACUCAUCGAAAGGUGGGCUAAUACCGAAUAACGCUGUGAGACCUUGGUCGAUCAGCCAAAGAGAGCCUCUGCUUGCAAGCUUUCGCUGAAGGAUGAGUCCGCGUACCAUUAGCUUGUUGGCAGGGUAACGGCCUACCAAGGCUGCGAUGGUUAGCUGGUCUGAGAGGAUGAUCAGCCACACUGGAACUGAGACACGGUCCAGACUCCUACGGGAGGCAG